GGAGGGUCUUCUGUGUAUGAUAGUAGCAGUGAAUCCUACGGUCAGGAUGGAUCUUCCACAUAUGGUGGCGCUGGAUCUUAUGGUCAGGAUUCGUCUUCCAUAGGAGGUGGUGAAUCCGAUGAUAUCGAUUCCACCUCACCAUCUGGCAGCCGACAGAGUGAACGGG